CCUACGGGAGGCAGCAGUGGGGAAUAUUGGACAAUGGGGGGAACCCUGAUCCAGCGACGCCGCGUGAGUGAAGAAGUAUUUCGGUAUGUAAAGCUCUAUCAGCAGGGAAGAAAGAAAUGACGGUACCUGACUAAGAAGCCCCGGCUAACUACGGGCCAGCAGCCGCGGUAAUACGGAGGGGGCAAGCGUUAUCCGGAUUUACUGGGUGUAAAGGGAGCGUAGACGGCGAUGCAAGUCUGAAGUGAAAGGCGGGGGCCCAACCCCCGGACUGCUUUGGAAACUGUAUGGCUGGAGUGCAGGAGAGGUAAGUGGAAUUCCUAGUGUAGCGGUGAAAUGCGUAGAUAUUAGGAGGAACACCAGUGGCGAAGGCGGCUUACUGGACUGUAACUGACGUUGAGGCUCGAAAGCGUGGGGAGCAAACAGGAUUAGAUACCCUGGUAGUC
rnacentral:rRNA from 1 species